rnacentral:rRNA from 1 species
UACGUAGGGGGCCAGCGUUGUUCGGAAUUACUGGGUGUAAAGGGUUCGUAGGCGGUGUGGCAAGUUGGGAGUGAAAUCUCUGGGCUCAACCCAGAGACGGCUUCCAAAACUGCCGUGCUUGAGUGUGGGAGAGGCUCGUGGAAUUGCAGGUGUAGCGGUGAAAUGCGUAGAUAUCAGGAGGAACACCAAUUGCGAAGGCAGCUCGCUGGGACGUUACUGACGCUGAGACGCGAAAGCGUGGGGAGCAAACAGG